rnacentral:tRNA from 1 species
GCCUGGGUGGCUCAGUCGGUUGAGCGUCUUACUUUGGCUCAGGUCAUGAUCUCACGUCUUGUGGGUUCGAGCCCCGCGUCGGGCU